GCUGAACGGUAACAGUGCAGCUCGUCGCUGACGAGUGGCGGACGGUGUGAUGUAAUGUCUGGAAACUGCCUGAUGGAGUGGGGAUAACUACUGGAAACGGUAGCUAAUACCGCAUAACGUCGCAAGACAAAGAGGGGGACCUUCGGGCCUCUUGCCAUCGGAUGUGCCCAGAGUGGGAUUAUGCUACGUAGUGUGGUGGUAACUGGCUCACCCUAGGGCGACGAUCCCUAGCAUUGGUUCUUGANAGUGAUGACCAAGCCACACUGGGAACUGAUGACCACCGUGGUCCAGACUCCCUACGAGGAAGUGCAGGCG
rnacentral:rRNA from 1 species